rnacentral:rRNA from 1 species
CUCGUAGGCGGUUUGUCGCGUCGGGAGUGAAAACUCAGGGCUUAACUCUGAGCCUGCUUCCGAUACGGGCAGACUAGAGGUAUGCAGGGGAGGAAUGGAAUUCCUGGUGUAGCGGUGAAAUGCGCAGAUAUCAGGAGGAACACCGGUGGCGAAGGCGGUUCUCUGGGCAUUACCUGACGCUGAGGAGCGAAAGUGUGGGGAGCGAACA